rnacentral:rRNA from 1 species
UACGAAGGGGGCUAGCGUUGUUCGGAAUCACUGGGCGUAAAGCGUAUGCAGGCGGACCGUUAAGUCGGGGGUGAAAUCCCAGGGCUCAACCCUGGAACUGCCUUCGAUACUGGCGGCCUUCGAGUCCGGGAGAGGUGAGUGGAACUCCGAGUGUAGAGGUGAAAUUCGUAGAUAUUCGGAAGAACACCAGUGGCGAAGGCGGCUCACUGGCCCGGUACUGACGCUGAGAUACGAAAGCGUGGGGAGCAAACAGG